CUACAGGAUUUGGGCUUGCUUAUGUAACCAUGCCACCUGGUUAUGUAUGUUACCGUGGUUACAGGCUAGGUGUGUGUUACCAUGGGUUACAGUGUGUAAGAUGGAGUAACCAUGGGUAAUGAGCAAUAAUGAACUCCCUGGGUCUGCCAAGUUAAAAGAAAUAGACACGAAUGCAUGUAUGUUAUAUGAUUGUAUAUGUGAUGACUAAAACCCUCAACCUCAAAACUUGAAUUUGGGUGCUAUUUUUCAAGCAUAAAUUGCUGAUUAAUGCCAAAGUGUGUGUGUGUGGUGGGGGGGAUAAACAAACAAAUAGAUUAGAUAUACUAAUUUAACUAGAGACCUAGACUACACUGUCAUUCUGUCUAUAUUCAUCAUUUACCUUCUGGAUGUUUUCUCUUUUAAUGCCAUUCAUUCUCUGCAGUAGCCUGAUAGCUCUAUACGUAACACCUUGUAUGGUUCUAUGUCAGGGGUGUCCAAGCUUAUCCAGAAAGAGUCGGUGUGGGUGCAGGUUUUCAUUCCAAUCAAACUGGACACCCCUGUACUAAAUGAUUGUGGGUUUUGGUCUGUUGGCAUUCUGAAUAACUCUGCAAUCCACCGUACUCUGAAUUUGUACAAGCCUGACCUCCGACACACAAAAAUGCAAUAUAAUGCUCAUUCAGCUCAGAAGUCCACAUCAUCCACCUUGUCCGAGUUCUCUGACCUAAACAAACCUAAUGUCACAACUUUAUGGCAGCACACAGUGAAUGAGAGUAGACAUAUAUGACUCAGGCUUCGACUCAACUUUCUGAGUGUAGAGGACAGCGGAUUGCAACAGAAAAUUGAGCAGACGUGAAGUGAAGUCUCUUGUGAAAAGAUGGAUCUCAACAUCAUAUAGCUGCUGUUGGAAAUGGGUCAAAUAUGCAGAAGAUGCUGGAAAAGUAAAUAAUGUGCAGGACCUGGAGGAUUUUUCUGAAGAACAGUGGGCAGUUUAACUGCUCAGGACAAACAAGGGACUCAUGAACAACUAUCACAAAACAUAAAAACAGUCGUUGAUCAUCCAGGUAACAACACACAGUGUUAAGAAUCAAGCGUAUGUAAACUUUUGAACUGGUUCAUUUUUGUAAAUUCAGUUAUCAUUGUGUCUUGUGGACUAAAUGUAAACAUCUGUUAUGUGAAAUAGAUUAUUCAGGGCAGAA